AGCGGCGGACGGGUGAGUAACGCGUGGGUGACCUACCCGGAAGAGGCGGACAACCUGGGGAAACCCAGGCUAAUCCGCCAUGUGGUCCUGUCCUGUGGGGCAGGACUAAAGGGUGGAUAGCCCGCUUCCGGAUGGGCCCGCGUCCCAUCAGCUAGUUGGUGGGGUAAAGGCCCACCAAGGCGACGACGGGUAGCCGGUCUGAGAGGAUGGCCGGCCACAGGGGCGCUGAGACACGGGCCCCACUCCUACGGGAGGCAGCAGUUAGGAAUCUUCCGCAAUGGACGGAAGUCUGACGGAGCGACGCCGCUUGGAGGAGGAAGCCCUUCGGGGUGUAAACUCCUGAACUGGGGACGAAAGCCCCGUGUAGGGGGAUGACGGUACCCAGGUAAUAGCGCCGGCCAACUCCGUGCCAGCAGCCGCGGUAAUACGGAGGGCGCGAGCGUUACCCGGAUUUACUGGGCGUAAAGGGCGUGUAGGCGGCCUGGGGCGUCCCAUGUGAAAGGCCACGGCUCAACCGUGGAGGAGCGUGGGAUAUGCUCAGGCUAGAGGGUGGGAGAGGGUGGUGGAAUUCCCGGAGUAGCGGUGAAAUGCGCAGAUACCGGGAGGAACGCCGAUGGCGAAGGCAGCCACCUGGUCCACUUCUGACGCUGAGGCGCGAAAGCGUGGGGAGCAAACCGGAUUA
rnacentral:rRNA from 1 species